rnacentral:lncRNA from 1 species
GGGAAGCCGCGGUUUCUCGCCCAGCUCCUCCAAAAGGCCGCCGGCUUCGAGAGGUGGGCGGCCCCGCGAAGGUCACCGCCGGCUCCCAGGUCCCACGGGCGCUCGGCCCCUCGGCCGGCCUAGGACGCCCCUGCGCACCCUCUCCCGGGGAGGCCACGGUUCCUGCCCGCAGCUUUUUCCAUAAAACGAUGUUGCUUUGACAUUAGCGCUGACAUGGAGGGGAGGGUACCGGAUGCAUUCCCCUGACGUGCGCCCUGUUACAUUCCUACCAGUGGUUCCCUGCUGCGACCUCGAACACCUCACAGAACCCCUCUGGGCCUCAGCGUCCUCUCUGUGAGUGGGGGCAACGACAGCGCCUCCACACAGAAGGUUGAAACUGCCCCAAUGAAGAGGGAGGCUGUUGCAUAAGAACAGGACGUGGAGUUGGCAGGUGUCGGCCGCCGAUGGAAAUAGCUCUCCAAAAGUUUCUCCUUUUUGGUUUCCGCAAAUUCAUGUAGGAAGACGUCUAUAAAAGUCACCCCUGGUCUGGGAGUGUGGCUGGCUCAGCUGAAGAGCCCUUGUUUGUCAGGGGUGGGGGCCGGGGUUGGAUCCUCAGCACUGCAAAGAAAGAGGAAAAAAGCCGACUCUGCACACUGAGUGUGACUCCUGAGAUGAGCUGGGUGAGGGAAUGACCAGACAGGGCAGGGAGGAGCACAGGAGCCUCCAGCUCCCCAACCGGGAGGGUAAGGCAGGGCCGUGUGGGGGUGUCACUGCACAAAAGAGAAGCAGGUGCAGGUGCAGGUGCAGGGACUUGGGAGUGUCUGCCUGCCCCGCUAGUUAACGAAGGGCCUUCCUUCCUGCGGCACCUGGUCCUGUGGUCCCUGCUAAUUUCCACAGGGCCCCAGCCUGUCUGUGUGCCAGUCCUCACUCCCAGAAUUGAAGUGAGGUCCAGCUGCUCCUGACACUGCCCUGCAAGAGAAGAAACCAACCAACCUUUGCUCUGGACCCUGGUAAAGGACGACGCACUGCAGGGCCCAGGCUCUUCCACCUGAAAGGGGAGGUGGGGUGCACCUGGAGAGAGCAGGAGCAGCCUGCAAAUGUCUCCCCAGUUGCAUGGACCUGCUCAGGUGUGGAGCCCCACAGCCGACCGGAGAAGCCUCAGAGGUGGUGAGCUCCCCGUCAGGAGCCCUGGGAGGAGUUCGCCUCCUGUGAUGUGAUGCUGAGGAAGAGCGCCCACGUCAGAGGCAGGGCUGGACUCGGUGUUUCCUCAGCUUAGUUUUGGAUUAUAUCCCCUGAAAUUGUUAUUUGGACAAAUUUUUUCCUUUAGCCACUUGUAUUUUAUUAAAAGGGUAGGUUUACUUUAAAGAAGGCAAUUCAGUGUCAAUUACAGACAGGUCACCAUAAAAAUAGAUAAAACAAAAGGGUAUUAAAUUCUCACCUGCCUGCUGAGGGCCUGAGCCCCAGGCUGACCUCAGACCCCACCAGAUAUUUCCCAGGAUUCCUUGCACCAUCUUAAAGGUAAGUCCAC